GCCAAUGAUGACAAUUAUGAAUUGGAACUGAAAUGCAAGUUUUUAACUUCUGCAUUGGGUUGAAAUUCUUUGACUAGGACGGUCUGAGGC